rnacentral:lncRNA from 1 species
GGGCGCCACAGGUGUGGGGCGUGUGCGAUGGCGUGUGAUCGAAGGCCGGUAAGCUCACAGGAGUGUGCCACAGGUGUGGGGCGUGUGCGAUGGCGUGUGAUCGAAGGCCGGUAAGCUCACAGGAGUGUGCCACAGGUGUGGGGCGUGUGCGAUGGCGUGUGAUCGAAUGCCGGUAAGCUCACAGGAGGGCGUCACAGGUGUGGGGCGUGUGCGAUGGCGUGUGAUCGAAGGCCGGUAAGCUCACAGGAGGGCGUCACAGGUGUGGGGCGUGUGCGAUGGCGUGUGAUCGAAGGCCGGUAAGCUCACAGGAGGGCGUCACAGGUGUGGGGCGUGUGCGAUGGCGUGUGAUCGAAGGCCGGUAAGCUCACAGGAGGGCGUCACAGGUGUGGGGCGUGU